rnacentral:rRNA from 1 species
UACGUAGGAUCCGAGCGUUGUCCGGAGUUACUGGGUGUAAAGGGUGCGUAGGCUGUUCUGUGCGUCAGAGGUGAAAUCCCCGGGCUUAACCUGGGAACUGCGUUUGAAACUACAAGGCUAGAGUGUAGCAGAGGGGGGUGGAAUUCCACGUGUAGCAGUGAAAUGCGUAGAGAUGUGGAGGAACACCGAUGGCGAAGGCAGCCCCCUGGGUUAACACUGACGCUCAGGCACGAAAGCGUGGGGAGCAAACAGG